rnacentral:rRNA from 1 species
UACGGAGGGUGCAAGCGUUGUUCGGAAUUACUGGGCGUAAAGCGCGUGUAGGCGGCCUCUUAAGUCUGGUGUGAAAGCCCGGGGCUCACCCCCGGAAGGGCACUGGAUACUGGGAGGCUAGAGUACCGGAGAGGAGGGUGGAAUUCCUGGUGUAGCGGUGAAAUGCGUAGAUAUCAGGGGGAACACCGGUGGCGAAGGCGGCCCCCUGGACGGCUACUGACGCUGAGACGCGAAAGCGUGGGGAGCAAACAGU